rnacentral:rRNA from 1 species
UACGUAGGGGGCAAGCGUUGUCCGGAAUCAUUGGGCGUAAAGAGCGUGUAGGCGGCCCGGUAAGUCCGCUGUGAAAGUCGGGGGCUCAACCCUCGAAUGCCGGCGGAUACUGUCGGGCUAGAGUCCGGAAGAGGCGAGUGGAAUUCCUGGUGUAGCGGUGAAAUGCGCAGAUAUCAGGAGGAACACCAACGGCGAAGGCAGCUCGCUGGGACGGUACUGACGCUGAGACGCGAAAGCGUGGGGAGCGAACAGG